CCGCCCGUCGCUACUACCGAUUGAAUUAUUUAGUGAAGUCUCCGGAACGUGAUCACUGUGACGCCUUGCGUGUUACGGUUGUUUCGCAAAAGUUGACCGAACUUGAUUAUUUAGAGGAAGUAAAAGUCGUAACAAGGUUUCCGUAGGUGAACCUGCGGAAGGAUCAUUA
rnacentral:ncRNA from 1 species